UCGCCCUUCUGGAGUUUGGCAGAGGGGGGUGGAAUUCCACGUGUAGCAGUGAAAUGCGUAGAGAUGUGGAGGAACACCAAUGGCGAAGGCAGCCCCCUGGGUCGAUACUGACGCUCAUGCACGAAAGCGUGGGUAGCAAACAGGAUUAGAUACCCUGGUAGUCCACGCCCUAAACGAUGUCAACUAGGUGUUGGGAGGGUAAAACCUUUUAGUGCCGUAGCUAACG
rnacentral:rRNA from 1 species